rnacentral:rRNA from 1 species
AACGAACGCUGGCGGCAGGCUUAACACAUGCAAGUCGAACGCGUGUAGCAAUACACGAGUGGCGCACGGGUGAGGAACACGUGGGAACCUACCCUUCGGUUCGGAAUAACCCCGGGAAACUGGGGCUAAUACCGAAUGUCUCCUAUGGGAGAAAGAUUUAUCGCCGAAGGAGGGGCCCGCGUCCGAUUAGCUAGUUGGUGAGGUAACGGCUCACCAAGGCGACGAUCGGUAGCUGGUCUGAGAGGACGAUCAGCCACACUGGGACUGAGACACGGCCCAGACUCCUACGGGAGGCAGCAGUGGGGAAUAUUGGACAAUGGGCGCAAGCCUGAUCCAGCCAUGCCGCGUGAGUGAUGAAGGCCUUCGGGUUGUAAAGCUCUUUUGGCGGGGACGAUGAUGACGGUACCCGCAGAAUAAGCCCCGGCUAACUUCGUGCCAGCCGCCGCCGUAACAC